rnacentral:lncRNA from 10 species
GUAUACUACAAUAUUAAAGCUUAUUUAUACACACUGUAAAGUUUCCCCUGAGUGUCCUGGCAGGCACUUGCAUGGCUGGGCAGUAUCCGUGGACUGAUUCCUUUGUGAAUUACAUGGAGCUGACAGGGCUGAAACCCACAGCUGACUCGGAGGAGGAUGGAAGCUUGUGCUGGGCAAGGGGCUGAAGCCCCUCUGUGUAAGUCAUAUUAAUCUCCUCUGAGCAGAGUGCUACAAAAUUACUAAAGCUGCUUCUUGAAGACACUUCUAAUGCAGUACCUAAUGAAAAUGUCAGGUGCGACAAGUUAUUAGUUGCUGCACUGCUGUUCUGAAGUCCCAGGUAUUUCUCUACCUGUUAUCCAUGAAUGUGAGUUUUGUGGGGAAGGCAGUCACAGGCUGAGGAAAGCAUCAGCAGUCAUGUGUGCUGUCAGGCCUGUAAAGUGAGUGAGGACAAUGAAGCUGGUUGAAGUGCCCCAGGAAAUGGCCAGACUUCCAUAGUGGAGGUGAGGUGAAGAAUUGAGUCCGGGCAAAGGUGUGUGGGGAGAAGAAGCUGCCUGGUGUACGAUGCUGAGUAAUGAUACAACCCAAAUCAUCUGACUCUGCAGAUUUGAAAGUUGCCGUUAUUAUUAAGAAUUCAGAUGGGAAAAGAAAUAUGGUUUGGGUUAUUUCCAUAGUCAUUCCAGAAAUCCAGGCUCAGUUUGGCAUUUAUUGACAUAACUGUUUAUAUUGGAUCUGUGUAGAAGUUUGUAUCUUUCUGACUUGCAUGAUACUUCAGCCUUUCCUUGGAGUCUCUGUGGCUUCUCUUCCUCCUUUGCUCACCUCCAGUCAUUGUCAAAUGGCUUUGUGCAAGUUACUCUUUCUCGGCCUCCAUUUUUUUGGAUCCUGCCUUUGCCGCCCUCCUUGCCUGUACUCUGUCCAGUCCAGGCCCUCUGGACCUCUUGCCUGGACCUCCAAGCUCUCCCUCCUCCCAUCUCUUCCCUUUCAACCUUCCUACCCAGAGCACAGCAGUAGUAACAGCUAACACCAUUUAAUAGGUAUCCUUUCUAUGCCAGGCCCUGGGGUUGCUAUGUCACAUAUAUUAUUUGUAAUGUUUGCAAUAACCCUGGAAAUGGUAUUAUUACCUCCAUUGUACAGUUUGGAAGGCACCAAAAAAGGCACAUGGGCCCACAUUCAUGCAAGCUAAUGAGGGGCAAAACUGGAAUGAGAACCCAGGGCCACUGGGUCCCUCAGCUUAUGCUGUUCCCUAACCAUACUGCUUCCUCCACUCAGAAUCCUUUAGUGGCUCCCAUUGCCUAAUAGAUCAAGUCUGGGCUCCUUAUCUUGGCUUCUGGGUCCUCUAAAAUGUAGUCUGCUAGGUUUCCAGGCUUUCCUCUCCACCCCUCACACAUCCUACUCUUUAGCCAAAAAAACAGACAAAAACCCUAAAAACAAAAAAAUCCAUUUUUUUAUUUAUACCCGUGCUUUCUUUCCUAAGUGCUUUUAUAUGUGCUAUUUCUCCUGCCAGGAGCAGAGACUGUCAUGCUUUCCUCUGUAUAAGUAAGUGUUGCCCAAGAAAACAUUGAACAGAGGUGGGCUAGAGAUCCAUUUAUUUUCUGGUUCACAAAGGGCAUAUUGGAUCUUUAUUAAAUAGUCUAAAAUGUCCUUUCAAUAAUGUUUUUCUUUAAUAUCUUUUUAAAAGACAUUUAAAGUGAAUCAGAAAGCAAUUAAAUGAUUAAUUGCUGUGGCUGAAUUCUGCUGCCCUCAGCCUCUGUGGAUGCUAUCUCACCGAUUAACCUCCAUUUCUAAGCUCUGUCUGAUUGAGGGAAGCAAUGACAGAAAACGCUUGGCCUGUCACAUGACUGAUCCUUGCUGUCAUGAGCCAUCGUUUUCUAACUGCAAGCUUUCAUUUUCAAAGCCCUGGCAUGAUUUCAGGAGCUGUAAACCCUCAUGUGAGUAAGUGAGCAGUAAGAACUGGCAGUUUUUCAAUCUUAAGUCUCUCCAGCUUUAAACCCACAUUUAGCUGUGAUUCUUUUUUUCUCCUUAAGUUGGACAUUUUUUUAGUGAAUACUUUUUUGAUAAAUAAAGUGGGGUGAAGGUGAACUUGACUGAGACAGAUAUGGGUUGGUCCGUUUAGGGCUGACCCUGGAAAAAAAAAGUUAUAUCAGUCUUGACAUUAAUUCCGUAGUCAGAGUAGGUGAGAGAGGAGUAGAUUAGUAUAUAGGGUUCCCAGCCUUCCCAGUACAACCAUGGACUCAGAGUUGGGGACACUAAAAAUGUACAUGAAGUUUAUGAUUUCACUGGUAGAGAUGGCCCACAAUGCCAGUUUGGACAGGCAUUACUCUAAACGUGGUGGGGAAGUCAGGAGACAUCUACUCCAAGGCAUAACCUCUAGGACAGUUUGUGGGGUAUCAGGGAAGGAUAUAUCAUUGGAAAGAUUUCUAGUUGCCAUACACAAAUAAUUGGGCUUCAGUUUAAUGCAUAAUUAACUGUUCUCAGUGUGUUAUUAGUUGGACAAUUGGAUUAUUACAUUAUUUACAUUAGUGUUUAUAGGUAAUCUGAAAACAAAAAUGUGAAUAUAAUAUGAACUACCUCAAAGAUUUGUCUCUGCUUAAUAGUUUUAUUUCAAAUUUGUAUAUCAAAUGUUUCAUUACCCUUUUUUCAUUUUAUUUUUUAGCUUUCAAAACAAAUUAGCAAGAGGAGGAAAGAGGAGAGGGAGAAACUGUGCACACCACCAGAAUGUUAUAGUAGGCGAUAUCAUGAAAGCAAUGUUGGAACUUUAUACUCAGGUUUCCUAGACUUUCCAUCACCACCAGUGAAUUCUGAGUGACAAUAGUGUGGAAUUUGGAAGAAUGGAAGAGAAACUGAAGUGGAGAGAUGGUGAAAGAGAAGAAAAAAUGAAGAAAGAUGCUUGCAAAAAUACUGCUGUGGGUCCUGAGAUGAGGAUUCUGGGAGGGCUGAAAUGGAUGCCCCUGACAGCUCCCUUUGAGUUCCUGUUCAUCUGAAGUACACCAGCUUUCUAGAUAUGCUGUCACUUUCCUUCUGCAGAGCCACAGUGGUGUCCUGUCUUCUCAGACCUCUUCUCACCUCAAAUCACUUAGGACUCGGCCACCAGACAGAUUUGGGAUUUCAGAACUUUUCAGAUGUUAGAAAGGGCAUGAGCAUGAAGAUGCUGACAAAGCUGUUCCUACACUUCCUGUGCUGGCUGGGAAGGGAUCUGAUUCGGGCUGAGCCUUAAGAAUCACAGUUCCAAGCUUUCUUCUCAUUCCAGAUUUUAGUCGGGAAAGUAGGCAUUCUGGAAGUAGAGUCCGUAUCUAUACUUUAUAUGUUCCCCUUAGGUUUGAUGAGCAAAAAGUAAUAAAGGAAACACAAACUCAGGAAAGAAAAGAUUUUUCUAGGAAAGAUCUAUUUACACUACUUAGGCCUCUACCCUUCUUCCCUUGGGAGUUUCUUAGCUUAGCUUGGAAGAUCACAGAUUAAAGUACAAUAUAGCAAGUAUUAUUAAAAACAACCUGUAAAACUGCAUUAUCCCAAAGAUUUAGCAGCUAAUUUUCUGUUGCCUUUAGUUCUCACAUCAUUUUUUUUUUCAGGGUAUAACCUUCUUUAAAUUUUAUGCCCUGCUCUCAAAUUCCUUCUGGGUUUAAUGACUAAUCUCUUUAUUUGUGUUUACCCUGGUGAAGCCUGUAGAAAGAAAAUCAUAAAUUAAUGGCAUAUAUUUGCAGCUAUAAACGGGACAGAUUCAGAAAUAUACAAACAUGCCUAGUAACCAAUUUCCUGAAAUUGCAAUGCUCAACUCCCAAUUAACCUUAGAAUUUACAAGUCUAAUCAAAU